GCACCUAAGUACCACCCUGUCGAUUGUGUCCAUUUGGCGUGGGUGAUGGAGGUGCCAGAGAGAUUCAACGUGAAUCCAGAUGGUUCUCCUCCUCUCAUGGAGCCUGUCUCUACAACUUUGAUACACAU